UACGGAGGGGGCAAGCGUUGUCCGGAUUUACUGGGCGUAAAGGGCGCGUAGGCGGCUUGUUAAGUGUGGUGUGAAAUCUCCAGGGCUCAACCCGGAAACUGCACCGCAUACUGGCGAGCUAGAGGAAGGUAGAGGUGAGUAGAAUUCCCGGUGUAACGGUGACAUGUGUAGAUAUCGGGAGGAAUACCGAUGGCGAAGGCAGCUCACUGGGCCUUUCCUGACGCUGAGGCGCGAAAGCGUGGGGAGCAAACAGA
rnacentral:rRNA from 1 species